rnacentral:rRNA from 1 species
CUGCCUGCACUCUGGGAUAAGCCUGGGAAACUGGGUCUAAUACCGGAUAGGACCAUGCUUUAGUGUGUGUGGUGGAAAGUUUUUUCGGUGUAGGAUGAGCCCGCGGCCUAUCAGCUUGUUGGUGGGGUAAUGGCCUACCAAGGCGGCGACGGGUAGCCGGACUGAGAGGUUGGUCGGCCACAUUGGGACUGAGAUACGGCCCAG